rnacentral:rRNA from 1 species
AGUUCGAUCAUGGCUCAGAUUGAAUGCUCGGCUGGAUGCUUUACACAUGCAAGUCGAACGGCAGCACGGACUUCGGUCUGGUGGCGAGUGGCGAACGGGUGAGUAAUGUAUCGGAACGUGCCUAGUAGCGGGGGAUAACUACGCGAAAGCGUAGCUAAUACCGCAUACGCCCUCGGGGGAAAGCGGGGGACCUUCGCCUCGCACUAUUAGGAGCGGCCGAUAUCGGAUUAGCUAGUUGGUGGGGUAACGGCUCACCAAGGCGACGAUCCGUAGCUGGUUUGAGAGGACGACCAGCCACACUGGGACUGAGUACACGGCCCAGACUCCUACGGGAGGCAGCAGUGGGGAAUUUUGGACAAUGGGGGAAACCCCUGAUCCAGCCAUCCCGCGUGUGCGAUGAAGGCCUUCGGGUUGUAAAGCACUUUUGGCAGGAAAGAAACGGCACGGGAUAAUACCCCGUGCAACUGACGGUACCUGCAGAAUAAGCACCGGCUAACCACGUGCCAGCAGCCGCGGUAAUACGUAGGGUGCAAGUUGCUAAUCGGAAUUACUGGGCGUAAAGCGUGCGCAGGCGGUUCGGAAAGAAAGAUGUGAAAUCCCAGAGCUUAACUUUGGAACUGCAUUUUUAACUACCGAGCUAGAGUGUGUCAGGAGGGAGGUGGAAUUCCGCGUGUAGCAGUGAAAUGCGUAGAUAUGCGGAGGAACACCGAUGGCGAAGGCAGCCUCCUGGGAUAACACUGACGCUCAUGCACGAAAGCGUGGGGAGCAAACAGAUUAGAUACCCUGGUAGUCCACGCCCUAAACGAUGUCAACUAGCUGUUGGGGCCUUCGGGCCUUGGUAGCGCAGCUAACGCGUGAAGUUGACCUCCUGGGGAGUACGGUCGCAAGAUUAAACUCAAAGGAAUUGACGGGGACUGCACGCGGUGGAUGAUGUGGAUUAAUUCGAUGCAACGCGAAAAACCUUACCUACCCUUGACAUGUCUGGAAUCCCGAAGAGAUUUGGGAGUGCUCGCAAGAGAACCGGAACACAGGUGCUGCAUGGCUGUCGUCAGCUCGUGUCGUGAGAUGUUGGGUUAAGUCCCGGCAACGAGCGCAACCCUUGUCAUUAGUUGCUACGAAAGGGCACUCUAAUGAGACUGCCGGUGACAAACCGAGGAAGGUGGGGAUGACGUCAAGUCCUCAUGGCCCUUAUGGGUAGGGGCUUCACACGUCAUACAAUGGUCGGGACAGAGGGUCGCCAACCCGCGAGGGGGAGCCAAUCCCAGAAACCCGAUCGUAGUCCGGAUCGCAGUCUGCAACUCGACUGCGUGAAGUCGGAAUCGCUAGUAAUCGCGGAUCAGCAUGUCGCGGUGAAUACGUUCCCGGGUCUUGCGGCCAAGAAUACCGCCCGUCACACCAUGGGAGUGGGUUUUACCAGAAGUAGUUAGCCUAACCGUAAGGAGGGCGAUUACCACGGUAGGAUUCAUGACUGGGGUGAAGUCGUAACAAGGUAAC